rnacentral:rRNA from 1 species
UACGAAGGGUGCAAGCGUUACUCGGAAUUACUGGGCGUAAAGCGUGCGUAGGCGGUUCGUUAAGUCCGUUGUGAAAGCCCUGGGCUCAACCUGGGAAUUGCAGGGCGAACUGCGGAUCUUGAGGAAACUAGAGGCCGGUAGAACGAUUGGUGGAGCGGUGGAAUGCGUAGAUAUCAAUCGGAAUGCCAAAAGUGAAGACAGCCGGCUGGGGUUUUCCUGACGCUGAGGCACGAAAGCGUGGGGAGCAAACCGG